rnacentral:rRNA from 1 species
AUUGAACGGCUGGCGGCAUGCCUUACACAUGCAAGUCGAACGGCAGCACGGAGCAAUCCUGGUGGCGAGUGGCGAACGGGUGAGUAAUAUAUCGGAACGUGCCCAGUCGUGGGGGAUAACGUAGCGAAAGCUACGCUAAUACCGCAUACGAUCUAUGGAUGAAAGCGGGGGAUCGCAAGACCUCGCGCGAUUGGAGCGGCCGAUAUCAGAUUAGGUAGUUGGUGAGGUAAAGGCUCACCAAGCCGACGAUCUGUAGCUGGUCUGAGAGGACGACCAGCCACACUGGGACUGAGACACGGCCCAGACUCCUACGGGAGGCAGCAGUGGGAAUUUUGGACAAUGGGCGCAAGCCUGAUCCAGCAAUGCCGCGUGCAGGAUGAAGGCCUUCGGGUUGUAAACUGCUUUGUACGGAACGAAACGGUGAGCUCUAAUACAGUUUGCUAAUGACGGUACCGUAAGAAUAAGCACCGGCUAACUACGUG